GGGAUUGUAGUUCAAUUGGUCAGAGCACCGCCCUGUCAAGGCGGAAGCGAACCCA
rnacentral:tRNA from 1 species